UACGUAGGGACCAAGCGUUGUUCGGAUUUACUGGGCGUAAAGGGCGCGUAGGCGGCGUGGUAAGUCACUUGUGAAAUCCCUGAGCUUAACUCAGAACGGCCAAGUGAUACUGCUGUGCUAGAGUGCAGAAGGGGCAAUCGGAAUUCUUGGUGUAGCGGUGAAAUGCGUAGAUAUCAAGAGGAACACCUGAGGUGAAGACGGGUUGCUGGGCUGACACUGACGCUGAUGCGCGAAAGCUAGGGGAGCAAACGGG
rnacentral:rRNA from 1 species